rnacentral:rRNA from 1 species
ACACUAGAUCUUGAAUCCAAUCAGCUUAACAGCAUGUUACCACCACAAUUUCGAUCUCUUAUAAAUCUAUCAUAUCUGGAUCUUUCCAACAACCAGAUCACGGGUUCCACUGGGAGCAUAACCGGUCUAACAAGUUUAGAAUUCUUGUAUCUUUCCAACAAUCUAAUAAAUGGUUCUAUCCCAUCGAACUUUUCGAAAUUGAUCUCUCUUACAACACUAUCACUUAAGUCCAAUCAGCUUAGUGGCCUAUUACCUCCAGAGUUAGGAUCUCUUGUUCUUCUAACUGAUCUGGAUCUAAGUAGAAACCAGUUUCUAGGAAGCAUUCCACCUCAGAUAGGACAUUGCCACCUUUUGUCAUCGUUACUCAUAUCAGACAACUUAUUAACAGGAGAAAUACCACAAGAAUUUGGUUAUCUUACCAACCUAUAUGAGCUGGACUUGAGUAGAAACAAUUUAAGUGGCACCAUCCCAGGGACUUUUUCUAAAUUUUCCCAACUGUAUAGGAUGAAUUUAUCAUAUAAUAGUUUGGGUGGCGCAGUUCCAUUACUUCCAUAUGCAUCUGUCUCUGGACCCUUGAUAUCACUUGACAAUAAUAUGGAUUUAUGCGGUGAACAUUUUUAUGGUGUAAAACCAUGUGAAGUACCAAAGCUUGACAGAGAACGACAAAGCAAUAAGCAUCCAAAUAAGAUGCGACCUAUAAUCAUUUUUUCUUCAUUUUCAUUUGCCGGCCUUGUAAUAGCAAGCAUUGUGGCUGUUUGUUGGAGAAGAAAAAUCAUAAAAAUUACUACCGAAAGCAAGUCUGGAGAUAUACUUUCCAUAUGGAAUUUCGAUGGGAAGAUCGCGUUCAAAGAAAUACUCACUGCAACAGAAAAUUUUGAUGAGAAAUAUUGCAUAGGCAUUGGAGCCUACGGAUCAGUCUUCAGAGUUGAGCUUGGAGGGGGGAAGAUUUUUGCAGUCAAGCUCCUCCACUCGAUGGAAGAAUACAGCGAUGAGGGGACAUUUCAUGCUGAGAUUGAAAUACUGACGAAAAUAAGGCACCAAUGCAUCGUCAAGCUGUAUGGAUUCUGUUCCCACUCCCGGUGCAAAUUUCUCGUCUAUGAUCUUAUCGAGAGGGGAAGCUUAUCGUCUAUUCUGCAUGAGCAAGAGCUAGCGAUGGAGCUAAAUUGGCCCAGGAGAGUUGUUGUCGUGAGGGAUGUAGCUCAAGCUCUCUCCUACUUGCACCAUGACUGCGACCAUACAAUCGUGCAUCGUGACAUAAAAAGCAGUAAUAUUCUUCUGAACCUCGAUUAUAAAGCUUAUGUCUCGGACUUUGGCAUGGCGAGGAAGCUGAAGCACCGUUACUCAAGCUGGAGCUCUAUCUUUGCAGGGACAUGUGGCUACAUAGCCCCAGAAUUGUCAUCUACCAUGUUAUGGACAGAGAAGUGUGACGUGUACAGCUUUGGCGUGGUUGCACUGGAAGUUUUGAUGGGAAAGCACCCGGGUGAUUUGCUCCUUCCAUUCUUCUGCGGAACAGAGCAGCCGGAAAAGCUCAAAGACAUCCUGGAUCAACGCAUCGCAGCACCGUCAACCAUUGAUGAGGGGAAGGAUGCCAUUUUGGUUGCCUUGGUGGCCUUUGCUUGCCUGCAAGUCUCUCCAAAAGCUCGGCCAACAAUGCAGCAGGUAUAUCAGGCACUCACGAACAGAAACCGCCCAACGCUGAUGCUCAGGCCAUUUCAUGAAAUCAGCCUGCAAGAUCUGCACGAUUACUGUGGCGCCAUGGAGAAUAUACGAAGCUACAUACUAGUCUCCUUUGUUGGC